CUCAGAGGACCCUGGAAGACUGCCCAUUGCUGACCAUGGUAGUCCAAACUCAACUUGGAUUCAAGGCUGUGUAGGCAACAUUAUCAAUCUGCCUGUCCGGUCACAUCACCUCCUGUUCCCUGAAAGGUCCUGAGCUUCUAGUGAGGACAGACACCAUGACUCAGUCCUCUUGGCACCAGCCCUCCCUGACCCUCUCCCAUCUACAUACUUAUUAAUGUCCAGUGUAGUCUUCUGCAUAAGGAUUAAUAUAAAUUACGGGAGAUAAUUUGCAAAGAAGGCUAUUUAAAAUUGCGGCAGAGCAGUUCAUUUGUUGCGAUAAUUCACUUUGGUGUAAAAUUCAAUUAUUACUGACAAAUAAAGCUCUAUCCAGACCCCAAAGGAGUGCUACUAAACAGUUUUCACAGCUCAGCACUUUUUUCCACUAAGGAAGAAAGCUGGACAACCAGUUUAUAAAUGCUGACAGAAAUACACAGUAAUUUAGAGAGCUUCCACACACAGUCUCCAAGAUUAACUGCCCUACAUCUCCUAUUAUUGUUUCAACUCAUCCUUCUGAAAUGGUUUUCCACGUAAAGAAAAGCUAUAAAGGAAGCCUUACACGACCGAGCAGUGGUUCCUGCAGGAUGCUCAGGACCCUGAUCAUGUGUCACUGCAAUCUUGAUCCCUGUUUUUGUGAGUAAAUGCCGCCCAAAUGCAGAGACCAGAAGACAAAAGCCCUUAGCCCAGCGGUCUCUGUGCUCCUGGGACCAUAGAGCCGAUAUCAACAGGGUACAUUAACACCUGAUGGGAAGUUGCACUCUUGUCUGAAUGGGCUCUGAUGUAGACCACAUCACUGUGGCUGGCAGGAUUGGUAGGACUUGGAUGGAUGGAUGGGAAGGUGAAGGAAUUCUGGUGGGGAAAAGGGGUGCUUCUUCCCUGAAAUAAAUGAAGGAAACUUUUAUAAUGAAGAAAUUAAUUAAGAACUGCCUUGUUGCCCAGUUCUGCGGAGACAGCAAUAGGAGUGAAGGAGUGGAAUGUGAAACCCGAGGGGUAAGCAAGCUGGACUCCAACCAAAGGAGAGUCAUUGGUUUUGAUCUGUGGACUUGGAUAUAUCUAAGUAGAGCUUGAGAAGUCCCCCUUUUCUUGGGGUAAGCACUGAACCAUCUGAAUAAAUGCUGCAGAGCAAAAAUGGACAAAGAAAAAAGCCCCUGGAAUCUAAAUGAAAGUCUAAGUGAAAGUGGGUCUAUCUUAAAUAUGACCGUGGAUUGUAUCAUAGAACCGACUAGAAGAAAUGCUGUGGACAUUUAAAGACUCUUCUGUAUCUGAAGUCUGAGUAAUUACACAGAUUAUUAUCCUGUAUAAUGUUAAGUGAAGGAAGAGUUAUUGACAAUGUAAUUACAAAUUACGACCAUGUUAAAUAAUAUGAAUAGAAAUGAGACUAGAAAGCAAUAAACCACAAUGCCAAUAUCGGUUUUGUUAGAGUGGUGAGAUUAUGGGUCAUUUACCCCUUCUUUUCCAAAUUGCCUAUAAAUUUUUUAAAAUUAUUUUUAUAAUGAACACAUUUUUUUUAAAAAAAGAAUUCACUACACUAACUCAUGCCAGAGCAAAAGUGAGCGGGCUUCUAGCAGAGUGGCUGGUAACUCUCAUUGUUCUGCUAACUGCAAGCUGACUGAUUGUGUUCUAUGGUCUCAAAGAAUGUCAAGAGUUAUCAUCCUCACCUUUGAGAGCAGUUCCUUUCACUGCAGUUGUUGGACGAGAAGUGCACUGAUGCGUUUCUACAUCUCCACACAGAGCACGGGAGCUUAACUGGCAACCAAUACCUUUGGAAGACCUGGUCUUGACAGCACUGGGCAGCCCUUUGAAAUGUGCCGAAGAUUUAAAGAAAAUUGUU